rnacentral:rRNA from 1 species
GACGGAGGAUGCAAGUGUUAUCCGGAAUCACUGGGCGUAAAGCGUCUGUAGGUGGUUUAGUAAGUCAGUUGUUACAAAUUGAAGCUUAACUUCAACCCAGCAAUCGAUACUGCUAAACUUGAGUAUAGUAGAGGUAAAAGGAAUUUCCAGUGGAGCGGUGAAAUGCGUAGAUAUUGGAAAGAACACCGAUGGCGAAGGCAUUUUACUGGGCUAUAACUGACACUCAGAGACGAAAGCUAGGGUAGCAAAUGGG